CAGCAGCCGCGGUAAUACGUAGGUGGCAAGCGUUGUCCGGAAUUAUUGGGCGUAAAGGGCUCGCAGGCGGUUUCUUAAGUCUGAUGUGAAAGCCCCCGGCUCAACCGGGGAGGGUCAUUGGAAACUGGGAAACUUGAGUGCAGAAGAGGAGAGUGGAAUUCCACGUGUAGCGGUGAAAUGCGUAGAGAUGUGGAGGAACACCAGUGGCGAAGGCGACUCUCUGGUCUGUAACUGACGCUGAGGAGCGAAAGCGUGGAGAGCGAACAGGAUUAGAUACCCCUGUAGUCCCUGUCUCUUAUAA
rnacentral:rRNA from 1 species